GUACACGUAGAGUGCUGGUACGCGUGUGGAUUCAUUUAGCGGAAACCCAUGAAUAAUUUAGAAAUUGCAAUCUACUACUCCAACACUGCAUUCAGACAAUUCAUAUCGGGCUCUCUCACCUCCGUCCACUUCGUCCCUGGUUUCAAUUUCCCAGAAUGCACCUGACUCUUCCACUCCAGCAUUUCGACGCAAUUUUUUCCGAGCUCAGGAUAACGAAAAUUGAUUAAUAGAGGAAGUCCCUGAAUUUGAAUUCUCAUUACAAGAGAAUAGAACAGGUCAAUUGAAAAGAAAGCCGAUAAGACACGAUUCCACGUGUUGAAUAACUUCGAGUUCCCUGGGACUCCUAAACCGGUUUCGGGGUCGUUUUUCCUGUCACUUCGUUUCACUGCGUUACGCUUGAGUUAUUUGAAUUCUUAACUGGCUGACGAUCACGCUAAACACUUGGAUAGUUAGCGGUGAUAUCACGACUCUGCUUGGUUUUUCCCGCAGGAUUUUUUUUUGUUAACACAAAAAAAAAAUCACUGAUAAUUUCAAUGUUUGAAUUACAAUUCUUAAGAUUUUUUUUAACAUCAACAAUGUUUCAUAAGGUUCCGAUAAAAAAUACCAGGGCAUAACAUAUAAGUCAAUUCACAUAUAAAAAAUGUCCCUGAAAUUCCUAGUGAGAUUGUUAGCCAAUUCCAUUGGGUUUUCUAAAUUUUUUAUGAUUUUUUCUAUUGUGAAGGUAACUUCGAUAAUAUUUGACGUUUAAUCAAAUCUUGUUGAUCCAAAUUGAGUCUGAUAUUUAGGUUUAGUGAAAUCCUCCUAAAAAUAGUCUUUAAAUUCACCAUAACUGACUUCCUCACCUUCGCUAAUUCAAUUAUAUUUGUCCAUCAUCACAUGAUGAACAUUACCCUCCGACCUUUUUCUCACAUGCAAUAACCCCCCAUCAUCUGAUAUCAUUGUCAACAAUUACCCGGAUCGUGAGGCUAUCUCCGACCAUUCACUAAUUGAACCGGACAUUGAUCCCUGACAUAUCCUAUUAAUUCUCAGUCUAGCAAUAAAUUUAGCUGACUUUUUUAUAUCAGUCACCCAGUUUUUGCUCCACCUUUUAGUACAGUGAUACACGAGACAGGGAGAGAGAGGGAUGGAAAACGGGUCAUCGUGACGUGAUAGAAGAGUAAAAAUGAACGAAUAAGCAAAUAAUUUAGCAUUUUCCAAGCACGAUCGACCUUGGUACGCGACACGCAUCUUUUACAUUCUCCCUUCUUGCUUUCUUCGUCUCUCUGUCCCAUGUGGGUCAGCCGAAAAAACCGUACGAUGAACCCGCCACUAUUUCAGAAUGUCAUCGAGAGGUGGGUUGGAAGGCGAUUAGAGCAGAGCUAUGAAGCACUGUUAGAGAGAAAAAUGAACUCAUAGAUAGUUGAUGAUCAAUAAAAGAUUUUGAAAAUUCAGGAAAAUCCAGAAUUUUAAGGCGUGAUCGGUUUAAUUUAUUCAUUCGAAUUUUAAAUCUGUCAUAAACAUUCAGUUGCUAAUU